UACUAGAGUAGCACUCGCAUAUCAAUAAGCGGAGGAAAAGAAACUAACAAGGAUUCCCCUAGUAACGGCGAGUGAAGCGGGAAGAGCUCAAAUUUGAAAUCUUAAAGGGUUUCCCUUUACGAAUUGUAGUUUAAAGAAGUGUUUUCUGUUGAGGUUUUGGUAAAAGUUCUUUGGAAUAGGACAUCAUAGAGGGUGAGAAUCCCGUAUUUGACCUUUACUUUCAACUUUGUGAUACACUUUCAAAGAGUCGGAUUGUUUGGGAAUGCAGUCCAAAAUGGGUGGUAAAUUUCAUCUAAAGCUAAAUAUUGGCGAGAGACCGAUAGCGAACAAGUACCGUGAGGGAAAGAUGAAAAGAACUUUGAAAAGAGAGUUAAACAGUACGUGAAAUUGUCAAAAGGGAAGCGUUUGACACCAGUGUUGUUUUUCUGAAAAUCAAUUAAAGAACUGUUUAUGCUAAGCUGUUUAGACUUUAUCAGCUAUCUGUUUAGUUUUAGGCUUUUCUUUAAUGCACUUUUCAGUUAACAAGUCAACAUCAAUUUCUUUUGCUGUAAAAAAGCUUGAGGAAGGUGGCUUGAGAUUCGUCUUAAGUGUUUAUAGCCUCUUGCCUAUGCAGUCGGAGAGAUUGAGGUCUGCAGCGUAGAUCCUUCGGGGCUAAAUGCAUUUGUGCUAAGUUAUAGCAUUUUAUAGACAACUUGUUGACUAUGAUUUGUCUUGUAGCUUACUCGCUUAUGUUAUUUUACCUACGCUUAGGAUGUUGAACUACUGAGACAUAGA
rnacentral:rRNA from 1 species